UUCCUAUAUAAAUUUUGUUUUGUCUGGAAGAUCACUUGGAUUCUUGGGGCGAUAUCAACCACCUUCAGAGGCUGCAGAUCUGGAAAAAAGAAAAAGGAAAGGGUGUAUUCAGACACCUCUAUGAGAAGGCCACGGUCAGGGUUCCUGAGAUCUCCCAUACUGGUUCACCUACUCUGUGAUUUCUGUUUUGGACAAGGCUCAAGUUGUGUUGGCAAGCCUGACCAAGUCCACAAGAAAGGUAUUUUUGACACGCUGCUUUGUAGGCAAUUGCAUUUGGUGAAUACCAGCAAGCGCCAUGCUGCACGUGCAAUCCUCGAUACAGUGGGCUCUUAAAUGCUAUUGUGUGAUGUAAUGGCAAGGUGAUGAUAUGCUCUAUAAGGCAGUUCUUACCUUCAAGAUCUACCUGAAGAAGGGGAAUUUAUGAAAGGACUUUUUUUAAAGUGUUGCUGUGUUCAAAAACCUACAGCCACAGACAGCUCAUGAGGUAAAACUGCACAA